GGGGGCCCGCACAAGCGGUGGAGCAUGUGGUUAAUUCGAAGCAACGCGAGGAACCUUACCAGGUCUUGACAUCCCGAUGCUAUUCUAGAGAUAGAAAGUUACUUCGGUACAUCGGUGACAGGUGGUGCAUGGUUGUCGUCAGCUCGUGUCGUGAGAUGUUGGGUUAAGUCCCGCAACGAGCGCAACCCCUAUUGUUAGUUGCCAUCAUUCAGUUGGGCACUCUAGCGAGACUGCCGGUAAUAAACCGGAGGAAGGUGGGGAUGACGUCAAAUCAUCAUGCCCCUUAUGACCUGGGCUACACACGUGCUACAAUGGUUGGUACAACGAGUUGCGAGUCGGUGACGGCGAGCUAAUCUCUUAAAGCCAAUCUCAGUUCGGAUUGUAGGCUGCAACUCGCCUACAUGAAGUCGGAAUCGCUAGUAAUCGCGGAUCAGCACGCCGCGGUGAAUACGUUCCCGGGCCUU
rnacentral:rRNA from 1 species